AUUUUCACCAAAACAAAAACAAAAACAGAAAAACCUCGUGGGUUUUGGUGUCCCCAGUGAGGUGAUUGAGUGAAGAUGCUUCAUAGUUGAGGGACAGAGGAGAGUUUGAUGAGACCUGGAGCACAGAGCUGGCGUGCACGAUGCUCCUCCUGGGGAUUCUCUGUGAGCUCUUCAAAAUACCAGAGAAUGGAAUUAAAAAAGAAAAAAAAUAAGGCAGGAUUUGGAUGGAUUACUCAUACUUAAAAAGGAAGGCGGCUUUUAACCUUAAAAAAAAAGGAAGAAAGGAAAGAAAAGAAAAAAGAAAAAGAAAACUCCUUGCAUUAACACAGUGCAUUGACAUGUUACUAAAUCUAAGGAAUUUUGAAGGAUAAAUUCCCAGACUUGAUCCAAAACAUGAAACAAAUUCUUCAAACACAAGCUGCCAAGCUCAUCAACUUGUUCAGAUCUCUGUACCUUUGGUCUCACCAAACUGCUCGCUUAGCUUCUUGAUUGGCUGUUUAACCCUUCCAGGCUGACUGGGGUGGCGGGCAGGGGAGAGCCAGGAGGGGACUGUGCAACCAUCUCAGAGCAUUGGCCCUCUUGGAAGACCAGACUUCUGGAAUCGAUUUGGGUCCAGAAUUGCAUUACCCGUGGAAUGUGGAGUAUGCACGGUCCUUGACGGCUUGUGAACCACACUUCCUGGAGCUGGCCACCAGCCAGAGCUGAGACCAUCAGCAUCUUACAAAUGAAUUCUUUAUGAGACAAAGCACAAAUCACGGCCAUGGAAAGCUUGUCUCCUGAAACUCAUACUGAAGACAAAGAGGAAUCAAAUGCCCCCCUGAAUCUGAUUUUUUGCCGACUCUAGCUGAUUACAGUCCCAGAUGAUGAAGAUUUUCAUCAGAUACGACAAACUUUAAACUACGGUUGAAGAAAAUCCAGGGGACUCGCCGAAAGUUCACAAUCCUCAGGAAGAGCGGGUCGGCUGCAAACGCUGGCACGUCCCCCACGCGCAUGCACACACAGCCUGGGUGUCACUGAAGACAGCACAUCAGUUACUGGCCAGAGGAAGCAGUGUAAAAAUGACUUUGCAGGCUUUGAGACAUUUAAACAGAAAACUGUAAUGCGACCCAGCUGAUCUGAAUCUCUCUACUCACAAAUAAUCUUCUGUGAUCACUUCAAACAGACUACUGACCUGCUUGCCUGAUCACUUCGUGGUUACUCAUUUCUGGCCAUUUCACCCUCAAGAUGGUGAGGUCCUAGCCUGAGGGGAACGUGUCUUCCCAGGGUCUAGCACGGUGCCUGGCAUGUAAAUGCCCCAUGUGAAAUGCUAUCCAAUAAACUGAUCUGAUUCCGUUUCUCACCUA